GCUGUGAGGUUCAGCAAGCGUUUUGUGCAGGUAAUUGAGUUGAGAGUCCUCUCACAUCCAUCCAAAGAGGUGGGACCCUAGGGAGUCAUCCAACCCCUCAGCCAGGACGAGGGCGGGUGGCGUGUGGCGGGGAGGGAGGCAGUGCUCGAGCGCGUGGAGAGGAGGCCACUCUGCGGGGUCAUCCGCGGCUGAUUACUGCCGAGACGUGAGCGUCAGGAGCUAAUGACAGGCACCCGGGGAGGGUGCCAGAUGGUCCUGUCGUCCCUGACGCCACAGGGGCUCCCUGGCAACGGCUGCCGUGGAAACGUUUCAGCACACUUCAGUGGCACUUCCCUUUCACCUCUGUGGAGUGACAGAGGCAGCUAGAGGCAGGGGAGGCAGGGGAGGCACGCCCAGUGAUGGGGAGUGACAGAGGCGGCUGGAGGGGUGAGGAUGUCCCUCAUAGGCACCACUACUUCUUGUUCAUGUCAUUUUGGAGAUGUGUGACACCCACACCCUCUGUAAGGGGGGACCUAUCAGAUCACAAAAGAAGCCCUGUGCUCUACUGGGGAGGUCUGGGGAGGGAGAUAGGACACGAGGAGGUGUUUGUGUGUAUGUGUGUUUGUGUGUGUGUGUGUGUGUGUGUGUGUGGGUGUAUGUGUGUGUGUGUCUGUGUGUGUGUUUGUGUGUGUGAGUGCGUGUGUGUGUGGAGCACUAUGUCUCCGAGCUCCCCUGAGCACAGUGGAGAGUGAUGCAUUAUGGGUCUGGUAAUGAACUGCUAACAAUAAUGAGGGUGAUUAUUGCUGCCAUUAUCCAUGCUCUUUAUUCUGUACGCAAUGUCAAAUAAAAAUGGUGCCUUGAUGGCCGGAUGAAAAUGUUUCAUUUCAGAGGAAAACAAAGUUUUUUGAUGGCUCUCUAAAGGCUUCUGGCCUCUAUUGACAUUGUGUGCAGUUAUUUCAUGCUGUGAGUGAAAUGAAAACACACACACACAUACACACACA
ensembl:lncRNA